rnacentral:rRNA from 1 species
UACGUAGGGGGCUAGCGUUGUCCGGAUUUAUUGGGCGUAAAGAGCGUGUAGGCGGCCAGGUAGGUCUGGUGUGAAAACUCGAGGCUUAACCUCGAGAUGUCAUCGGAAACCAUCUGGCUAGAGUCCGGAAGAGGAGAGUGGAAUUCCUGGUGUAGCGGUGAAAUGCGCAGAUAUCAGGAAGAACACCAAUUGCGAAGGCAGCUCGCUGGGACGUUACUGACGCUGAGACGCGAAAGCGUGGGGAGCGAACAGG